rnacentral:rRNA from 1 species
CCUACGGGAGGCAGCAGUGAGGAAUAUUGGUCAAUGGGCCUAAGCCUGAAACAGCCAAGUCGCGUGAGGGAUGAAGGUUCUAGUGAUCGUAAACCUCUUUAAUAAGGGAGUAAAGUGUGGUACGUGACCUAUAUGGUACGUACCUUAUGAUUAAGGACCGGCUAACUCCGUGCCAGCAGCCGCGGUAAUACGGAGGUUCCGAGCGUUAUCCGGAUUUAUUGGGUUGAAAGGGUGCGUAGGCGGCCGUUUAAGUCAGCGGUGAACGUCUGUGGCUCAACCAUAGAAUUGCCGUUGAAACUGGGGGGCUUGAGUAUGUUUGAGGCAGGCGGAAUGCGUGGUGUAGCGGUGAAAUGCGUAGAUAUCACGAAGAACCCCGAUUGCGAAGGCAGCCUGCCAAGCCAUGACUGACGCUGAUGCACGAAAGCGUGGGGAUCAAACAGGAUUAGAUACCCCAGUAGUC